UUAAACACCAGUUUUCAUACAAUCACUGAAGUUAAGCAAUGUCAAGCCUGGUCAGUAUGUAGAUGGGUGACUGCUGGGGAAUACCAAGUGCUGUAAG